GAUGAACGCUGGCUACAGGCUUAACACAUGCAAGUCGAGGGGAAACGACGGGGAAGCUUGCUUCCCCGGGCGUCGACCGGCGCACGGGUGAGUAACGCGUAUCCAACCUGCCUCUGACUGAGGGAUAACCCGUCGAAAGUCGGCCUAAUACCUCAUGGUAUCGUCUGCGGGCAUCCAACGACGAUUAAAGAUUUCAUCGGUCAGGGAUGGGGAUGCGUCUGAUUAGCUUGUUGGUGGGGUAACGGCCCACCAAGGCUACGAUCAGUAGGGGUUCUGAGAGGAAGGUCCCCCACAUUGGAACUGAGACACGGUCCAAACUCCUACGGGAGGCAGCAGUGAGGAAUAUUGGUCAAUGGGCGAGAGCCUGAACCAGCCAAGUAGCGUGCAGGAAGACGGCCCUAUGGGUUGUAAACUGCUUUUAUGCGGGGAUAAAGUGAGGGACGUGUCCCUCAUUGCAGGUACCGCAUGAAUAAGGACCGGCUAAUUCCGUG
rnacentral:rRNA from 1 species